GACGAACGCUGGCGGCGUGCUUAACACAUGCAAGUCGAACGGAAAGGCCCUGCUUUUGUGGGGUGCUCGAGUGGCGAACGGGUGAGUAACACGUGAGUAACCUGCCCUUGACUUUGGGAUAACUUCAGGAAACUGGGACUAAUACCGGAUAGGAGCCCCUGCUGCAUGGUGGGGGUUGGAAAGUUUCGGCGGUUGGGGAUGGACUCGCGGCUUAUCAGCUUGUUGGUGGGGUAGUGGCUUACCAAGGCUUUGACGGGUAGCCGGCCUGAGAGGGUGACCGGCCACAUUGGGACUGAGAUACGGCCCAGACGCCUAAGGGAGGCAGCAGUGGGGAAUAUUGCACAAUGGGCGGAAGCCUGAUGCAGCAACGCCGCGUGCGGGAUGACGGCCUUCGGGUUGUAAACCGCUUUCGCCUGUGACGAAGCGUGAGGGACGGUAAUGGGUAAAGAAGCACCGGCUAACUACGU
rnacentral:rRNA from 1 species